UAAGCCUACAUAUCUUUCUAUCUGGUCCAGAAAGGGGCAUGACCUGGGUGAGGUAGAGAGCUUCAGCCAAAGAUAGUUCUUACCCAAGCCCCCUUUGGGAACAAUCAGCUGUCAGCUUUUUCAGCAAUUUGGGGACUGAAUGCUUCAGUCCUAUAGUAGACAGUCCACUUUUUGAACUGCUCAGAACCAUUUGCUUUAUAAAUUCUGGGGCAGACUAGUCCCUUCCUGCUUUAGCUUGAUUUGAAUGUACAACUGGUAUUCAUCUUCCUCCUGCUUAACCCAUUCUAGAUUUUUUAGCUGACCUACCCCCUUAGACUUAUACUUCUGCUGGUCCAAGUGGGUUACCUGAUUAGGUGCCUAACCAUCAUAUUCUUCUUAGGCCAUGAUUGUACUUGUCCUUUAUCUUCAAAAUAGGGCAAGAGAAAGAAAGAUACUCAUGAAUGGCCUGAGUGCCAAAUACAUCCUUGUCCCCAUUGUGUAACAGCCCCAUCUGCUGAUGAUCAAGGAGAUCCUGCUUUGACUGUUCUCCCUGGAGCCUGUGAUUGUCCUCAGACUGUCCUGAUUGUCCUGAGAGCCAGACCUGAACCUGAGUUUUGUCAUUCUGCACUGCCACUGUAAUAGAGGUCCACAAUGGUAGGAUAUCAGAUCCUGGGAUGUGAAUGUCAAAUAAAACUAUAUCCAACAGUUCUCAAAAGA